GUACCUCCUGAUUGCUGAAUGUGCACUUGGACCUUCUGAUGACCUGCCUUCUGCUAUUCCAUCAGCCUGUAGACCUGGUGUCUGGAUUUUUGCCCAGGAUGAUUCCUACCACCUUACUACUGAAGAAGACACCAUUCCAGUGGACCACUGUGACCCAAAAGGCAUUCAGCCAUCAUGAUGUGGCCUUUACCUCCACUCCUGUCCUUACUACCCAGAUUCAGCACAGCCCUUUAUAAUGCAAGAGUUCUCAAGCCAAAUAGCUAAAGCUAUUUUAUCACAACAAAGGCCUAGUUUGUUCCCCUAAAUAUAUGUUUCAUUUCUUCAGUUGAAGCCUGCAGAGACACGUAGUAUGGACCAGGGGACUUUUCAUUAUCAGUAUAUUCUGAAGAAAGGCAACCUCUCUUUGAGAACAUUGGACCAUACCCCACAAUCUCAAAUAUGAAGUUCAUGAAUUAAUUAGGAACACAUCAAGACUGGAUCCUGAUCUUUUUCUACGUCACUUCUGUAGUAGCCUACUGAAUGAUAAAGCAGAUAUUCUGAUUCAUUGGGAUCAAAACAAAGACACAGUGAACUCCUAGCAUCAUCUUUGGGAUUACUCAGGAACCAGAACGUUUCAUACAAAUAUAAGAAAUUCUACCAAGGAAUCCCUUAACCUAACAGCAUUUCACAAGGCUCCAGUCAGAAAAGGCUACUUGAUACAUCAAGAUAGACCCUAUAUGCAUUUUGUGAACAACUUAUUCUUAGAUCAUUGGUUUUCCAAAAGCUUUGUGGCCAUGAAGCCCUUUGAACACUAUGUGGAAGCCCAGAGUAACAGUGAAGCUUCUCUGGAUGACGUGGUGAAGCAGGAGUGGGGUCUGCCACAGCCAUCACCACCCUGGUGACACCUACAGGGACUUCUUUACAACUUCUAGGAUUCUUCAGGACACAGUUGGAAAGCCACUGCCCUAGACAACAUAUUUGACCGGAAUGGCAUUCUGAUCUUUUAUGUACCUCUAUUCAGUAUAGUUUGUAUUAAGUUGAUACAGAACAUUUUUAGAAAUACUUAACUGUGUGUGAACUUAGAAAAGUAUAAGAAGAUGGGCAUACCCUUACCCCAGAGAAUGGGCAUAUGGGCUGAAAGUGGCGUCAAGCAACCUUCACUACUAGCACUCUACCCCAGAUGGACUUAGAGUGACUCCUGGAAUUGGAUAUAUCCAGAAAGAAAUCCAUAAGUACCCUACACUGACAAACCCACUAAACAAUUUGCACAGACUCCAAAUGUACUAGUGGUACUUGAAUACAUGACUUUGAAGUCUCGAAUCCUCCUCGGAUAUACAAAUUGCCUACAAGCUGGUAUUGAAGCUGAUGCCACAUUGAGACCAUCUUAGAACAACUUAAACAUUUGACCUCUCAUCAUUGGCCAUGGUACUCCAAAGGCUAACUGUUAAUUAUGAAAGCAGAAUUCAAAUCCUGGCCAACAUUCCCUAAAGAAGCUCAGUACCUGGUGGUUAUUCAUCUUAAAGUACAAAUCCAUAUAUGGUUCAGUCAUAGUUAAGGACACUGCUUCUUGGUUUCAGUUUACUGUUUCCAGGAUAAAUGAGCUAAUAGCCUUUAAAAACAAAACAGUUCCUGUCAUGUCUGCCUAUUCUUCAGAAUUAUGACUCCUCAUCUCUAUACAUAAUACUGAAUCCUGAAGAUAACAACCUUUCUUAUAAAUCUGAUUUAAACUAUAGCCUUUUAAAAAAAGAAACUGGUACCAUCAGCUAUAUGUGACAGUGAUAGUUGGCCAUGACUGCAUACUUGCUUGGCACCUCAAACAAUAUGUUGUCUACCUUUUUGCUGGAAAUGCAGAUUGACUUGGGGGAAAAAAAUCUACAAAGAUGGCAGCUAAGGAUUUUAUCAGUCUCAAGAGCUUCUGUCCUUGUGGAUCUUUUGUUGGAAGCACAUCUUUCUCAAUACUGUUGAUCUACACUGAUUUCUAGAGAGCCUGACUUUCAUUUUUGACUAUGAAAUACUCUUAGGCACUAAGACAACUUAUUUCUGUAGAAAGGAUUCACUUCCUGAACUCCCAGAUCAUCGUGAAAAAGGAGACUUCUGUUUGUGUCUUGAGAAAAUCUCAUUCCUUUACAGUCAAUUUAAGGACCAGCUAUCUUCACCUAAUCUAAUGAAUGCACUGGUUAAUGGAAAUGGUUUCUUUAUCUCUUUGUCUUUUUGCAUGAUUUACUCUACAGAUGAUCAAAUAAGGCUUAGGGCUGGUUCCUCAAGACUGCUGUCCCUCAGCAGAAUAGAAUCUGGAUGACUUUUCUGUUUAUAUAUAUACAACUAUUGCUAAUAAAGAAGAAAUCAGCAACCAGCUUACUCUUCUACUGUCUCAAAAUUGUCAGCUGUUUUUCCCCCUCUGCUUCUUCCUGUUCUUACAGAAAGAUAAUGUUCUACACUGCCAGUCAUUCCCUCUGAUCCCACCAUAUUCAGUGGUCAAAAUGAGGAACUUAAGAGGAAGAUCAUCUCAGUCUAAUGUAAGCUGUACAUAAGAAUUGGUGACUGAAUAAACAAAAAAGCCUAAAACCUUAAGGCAAAAGACCUAGGGGCUUGCCUACUGUCUCCAUGCCUCAGAUCUCUUCUAAAGCUCUCAACCGUGCCAUCCAACCAGUCUGAGGCCUUGACUUGCUUGUAAAAUGGUUCUUGGAGAUAGGCUUAGUUACAGAAGAUGAAGACUUGAUUACCAAAGAAAGUAGAGCCAAUUUUGACAAACCUGGCCCUACCGACCCUGUUGCUCCCAGAUGUAGCAUAAACUCCUAAACAGAACCUCUAGUCUGGAUUGAGAACAUGGCCGCCUUCUUGAGCUGACAGUUCUUGGGCACAUACGCAGGAAAAUACAAGCUGCUGUCACUAGCCCUUCACAAUCAGAAAAUUAUAUCCAGAGUAAGUCCUGUUUGUUUACUCUGGAGUACCCAAGAUGAACAUUAAUUUAUAGGGCUUCAUUAUUAUUAAUCUACCUAUUGUCAGAUUAUAUCUUGGUUAUUGGUAUGGCUGGUCCUACCCUGCUGAAAUUGUCCUGCUUGUCUAUUAACCUGAAUCAGCUCUUAACCUGCCUUUUUUUAACAUGUUGCUGCAAUCCAACUGGCCUUGAGAAGACAACAACUGAUUUCAGCCUAUCUUGUGCCCAAUUCCACCAAGGAUUUCUGAACAAGAAGCAACCUACACCUCACCCGGCCAGAACUUAAUAUUCACAACAAUAAGGACAUUGCUGUUAAGUAGAAAGUAAGUCUUAUGCUUAAUCAUUUUCAGCACCUGGGACAGCUACCAAAUUGGGAAGGAGUACAAUGGAUUGAAAGCAGAGUCCCAUUUCUUCUGCAGUAAUUGAAAAGUGAUUGAUUCAUCUGGAUUCACAAAAAUUGUACCAGUUCAACUUGGCAGAAGACUAACAGGAAAACAAGAACGUUUCCACUGAACUCCAUUUACAACUGACACAGCCUCACAGAACUAUUUGCUAGUGUGAGGCUAGCUGUCCCGUUUUAUAACACCCAGGCAGAAACUCUCACACUCAGUUGUUUGCUUGUGCUGAGAGACUGUGGUGUGAUCCCCAAGUACGCUCUUCAACAUGAGUAUUCCUUCCCAGUGGACUUUAGCUAGGCUUCCUGAGGUCAGAACAAAACAUCCCUCAAAAUUGUUUUAGAAAGAUUCCACUACUAAGGAAAUAAUGCUAGCUGUUAUCACUGAACAGUCAGAAAUUGGGCUUCAGUAUCUGGGCUUAUCAUGGACAUUCUUUUUUUUUUUUGCCCAGCAUCCAUUCCAUCUCGUCGUGACAACUCCUUGAUGUUUCUCAGAACUGUUUCUUCCCAUUUUGACUCAAGUUUGUCCAGUGAUACUCAGCCCUAGGAAGUUUACUGAACUAUGGGAGAGAAACUCUCUUUACUGAGGAUGUUUUAGCUUUGUUGGAUGAAAAAACUCAAACCAGUUUGUCAGUAUGUUGAAUGAGCCAGUCAGAAAACAAAGCCAGUGCAGAGGGAAACAGAGCCAAAAGAUGAAGAGACUUGAGUCCUGGUGACAAUGUGUAUACCGCUGGAUCCAGCUGUGCCUGAAGCUAGUAUAUCCCCUGGACUUUUCAGUUAUGUGAACCAAUAAAUACCCUUUUUUGCUUAAGCUA